UUUCCUACGGGACGCAGCAGUGGGGAAUAUUGCACAAUGGGGGAAACCCUGAUGCAGCGACGCCGCGUGAGUGAGGAAGUAUUUCGGUGUGUAAAGCUCUAUCAGCAGGGAAGAAAAUGACGGUACCUGACCAAGAAGCAUCGGCUAACUCCGUGCCAGCAGCCGCGGUAAUACGGAGGAUGCGAGCGUUAUCCGGAUUUAUUGGGUUUAAAGGGUGCGCAGGCGGUCUGUUAAGUCAGCGGUCAAGGCCCGGGGCUCAACCCCGGCCCGCCGUUGAAACUGGCAGUCUCGAGUUGGAGAGAAGU
rnacentral:rRNA from 1 species